rnacentral:misc_RNA from 1 species
GAAAUGCGAUAAGUAAUGUGAAUUGCAGAAUUCCGUGAAUCAUCGAAUCUUUGAACGCACAUUGCGCCCUCUGGUAUUCCGGGGGGCAUGCCUGUCCGAGCGUCAUUGCGAACCCCUCAAGCACGGCUUGUGUGAUGGGCCUCCGCGUCCCCCGGCUCCGGGGGACGGGCCCGAAAUGCAGUGGCGGCGUCGCGGUAAUCCGAUCAGCCCGAACGUAUGGGGACCUUCGUCACACGUUCAGCGGUGCGGACCGACGCCUCGCCUACUUUUGAACUCUCUUUAUCCGUUGACCUCGGAUCAGGUAGGGAUACCCGCUGAACUUAA